rnacentral:rRNA from 1 species
CUGCGGAAGGAUCAUUAUCGAGUUUUGAAAUGGGUUGUAGCUGGCCUCUCCGGAGGCAUGUGCACGCCCUGCUCAUCCACUCUACACCUGUGCACUUACUGUGGGUAUUGGAAGGCGUAGAGUCGUUUCACGACGGCGAGGCGUUGACCGUGCCUACGUUUUUCUACAAACGCUUCAGUAUCAGAAUGUGUAUUGCGAUAUAACGCAUCUAUAUACAACUUUCAGCAACGGAUCUCUUGGCUCUCGCAUCGAUGAAGAACGCAGCGAAAUGCGAAUAGUAAUGUGAAUUGCAGAAUUCAGUGAAUCAUCGAAUCUUUGAACGCACCUUGCGCUCCUUGGUAUUCCGAGGAGCAUGCCUGUUUGAGUGUCAUGAAAUUCUCAAACCCAUAAGUCUUUGCGGACCUAGUGGGCUUUGGACUUGGAGGCUUGUCGGCGACUGCAUAGUCGGUCGACUCCUCUCAAAUGCAUUAGCUUGAUUCCUUGCGGAUCGGCUCUCGGUGUGAUAAUUGUCUACGCCGUGACCGUGAAGCGUUUUGGCGAGCUUCUAAUCGUCUCUUGCGAGACAGCUUACAUUGACCUCUGACCUCAAUUCAGGUAGGACUACCCGCUGAACUUAAGCAUAUCAA